GCGGUACCGGUUCACGCCAUCGGAACGGCAGCCCAGCGCCUUGCCGAGUGCGCCCGGCGACC
rfam:Streptomonospora alba strain YIM 90003 contig_40, whole genome shotgun sequence.